rnacentral:lncRNA from 1 species
UCUGAUACAAUAGAACGCUCCUCCGCCACUGCGGCCGCGACUUGGUCUCAGCGCCAGGACCCUCCGGCGGACCACUCCGCAGCUAUGGAAGACAUGAACGAGUACAGCAACAUAGAAGAAUUCGCAGAGGGAUCCAAGAUCAACGCGAGCAAGAACCAGCAGGAUGACGGUAAAAUGUUUAUUGGAGGUUUGAGCUGGGAUACAAGCAAGAAAGAUCUAACUGAAUAUUUGUCUCGAUUUGGGGAAGUUGUGGACUGCACGAUGAAAACAGAUCCUGUUACUGGAAGAUCAGGAGGAUUUGGAUUUGUGCUUUUCAAGCAUGCUGCUAGUGUUGAUAAGGUUUUGGAACUGAAAGAACACAAACUGGAUGGCAAAUUGAUAGACCCUAAAAGGGCCAAAGUUUUAAAGGGGAAGGAACCCCCAAAAAAGGUUUUCGUGGGUGGAUUGAGCCCAGAUACUUCGGAGGAACAAAUUAAAAGAAUAUUUUGGAGCCUUUGGAGAGAUUGAAAAUAUUGAACUUCCUGUGGAUACAAAAACAAAUGAAAGAAGAGGAUUUUGCUUUAUUACAUACAUAGACGAGGAGCCAGUAAAGAAAUUGUUAGAAAGCAGAUACCAUCAAACUGGUUCUGGGAAGUGUGAAAUCAAAGUUGCACAACCCAAAGAGGUAUAUAGCCAGCAACAGCAGCAACAAAAGGGAGGAAGAGGUGCUGCAGCUGGUGGGCGAGGUGGUACUAGGGCUCGAGGCCGAGGUCAGGGCCAAAACUGGAACCAAGGAUUUAAUAACUAUCAUGAUCAAGGAUAUGGAAAUUACAAUGGUGCCUAUGGUGGUGAUCAAAACUGUAGUGGCUAUGGCGGCUAUGAUUAUACUGGGUAUAACUAUGGGAACUAUGGAUAUGGACGGGGAUAUGCAGACUACAGUGGCCAACAGAGCACUUACGGCAAGGCAUCCCGAGGGGGUGGCAAUCACCAAAACAAUUACCAGCCGUAUUAA